CAAGUCGAACGAAUCCCUUGUAGCAAUAUGAGGGGGAAGUGGCGAAAGGGGCAGUAAUGUAUGGGUAACGUACCCGGGGGUCGUGGAUAGCCGUCCUAACGGACGGGUAAUACACGGCGAUUCGGCGGGAGGACAUCCUCUUGCCGGGAAAGAAUUUCGCCUCCGGAGCGGCUCAUAUCGUAUUAGCUAGUUGGUGAGGUAACGGCUCACCAAGGCGAAGAUGCGUAGCGGGUGUGAGAGCACGACCCGCGCCACUGGCACUGAGACACUGGCCAGACACCUACGGGUGGCUGCAGUCGAGGAUCUUCGGCAAUGGGCGCAAGCCUGACCGAGCGACGCCGCGUGGAUGAUGAAGGCCUUCGGGUUGUAAAAUCCUGUCGAGGGGGAUCAAGGCGCAAGCUUGAGUGAUCCCUGGAGGAAGCACGGGCUAAGUUCGUGCCAGCAGCCGCGGUAAGACGAACCGUGCAAACGUUAUUCGGAAUCACUGGGCAUAAAGGGCGCGUAGGCGGCUUUCUAAGUCAGGGGUGAAAUCCGGCAGCUCAACUGUCGCAGUGCCUUUGAUACUGGAGAGUUCGAGGGAGGUAGGGGUCUGUGGAACUUCCGGUGGAGCGGUGAAAUGCGUUGAUAUCGGAAGGAACGCCGGUGGCGAAAGCGACGGACUGGAUCUCUUCUGACGCUGAGGCGCGAAAGCCAGGGGAGCAAACGGGAUUAGAUACCCCGGUAGUCCUGGCCCUAAACGAUGGGUACUAGAUUGCGGACUUACAUGGGUUCGCAGUCGAAGCUAAUGUUUUAAGUACCCCGCCUGGGGAGUAUGGUCGCAAGGCUGAAACUCAAAGGAAUUGACGGGGGCUCACACAAGCGGUGGAGCAUGUGGCUUAAUUCGAGGCUACGCGAA
rnacentral:rRNA from 1 species